UCAUUAUAAAUUGCCAAAGACACUUCAAUUAGUAAUAAUAAAAAGAAAAAUGGUGAACACCGGUGAGAUUCCGGGACUGUCCCGCAACGGUAAUGAGAGACCUCUAAGUCCGAGCCCAACCCCCGAGGAGGAUUCAUG
rnacentral:ncRNA from 2 species